rnacentral:rRNA from 1 species
UGGGGAAUAUUGCACAAUGGGCGCAAGCCUGAUGCAGCAAUGCCGCGUGUAUGAAGAAGGCCUUCGGGUUGUAAAGUACUUUCAGCGGGGAGGAAGGGAGUAAAGUUAAUAACUUUGCUCAUUGACGUUACCCGCAGAAGAAGCACCGGCUAACUCCGUGCCAGCAGCCGCGGUAAUACGGAGGGUGCAAGCGUUAAUCGGAAUUACUGGGCGUAAAGCGCACGCAGGCGGUUUGUUAAGUCAGAUGUGAAAUCCCCGGGCUCAACCUGGGAACUGCAGCUGAUACUGGCAAGCUUGAGUCUCGUAGAGGGGGGUAGAAUUCCAGGUGUAGCGGUGAAAUGCGUAGAGAUCUGGAGGAAUACCGGUGGCGAAAGCGGCCCCCUGGACGAAGACUGACGCUCAGGUGCGAAAGCGUGGGGAGCAAACAGG